AUGGCAGCAGUCAGCAGAGAGGAGCGGUGGAGCCUCGCCGGCAAGACGGCCCUCGUCACCGGCGGAACCAAAGGAAUCGGGCGCGCGAUCGUGGAGGAGCUUGCGGGGUUCGGCGUCCGGGUGCACACCUGCGCCCGGAGCGACGCCGACAUGCAGGAGCGGCUGCGCGGAUGGGCCGCCGAGGCUGAGGCGCGCGUCACGGGCUCGGCAUGCGACGUCUCCGUGCGUGUCGACUGGGAGGCGCUCAUGGCAACGGCUAACGCCGAGCUGGGGGGCAAGCUGGACAUUCUUGUGAACAACGCCGGCCAGACCUUCUUCGGGGAAGCCACGGCGUGCACGGCGGAGGAGUACACCCGUCUCAUGGCCACCAACCUUGAGUCCUGCUUCCAACUCGCGCAGCUCGCGCACCUGCUCCUCCUCGCUGGCAAUGGCGGCAGCGUGGUGAACAUCUCAUCCAUCGGCGGGAUCCUCGGAUACUCAAAGUUGUCGUUGUACUCGGCGACCAAGGCGGCCCUGAACCAGCUCACCCGUACCCUCGCCAUGGAGUAGGCGUGCGAUGGCAUCCGGGUCAACUGCGUCGCGCCGGGAGGCGUCCGGACGGACCUCCUCAUGGACUCAGAGGCGGCACGGAGGAUGUGGGAGGCGGAGAGCGGGCGCACCGCUUUGGGCCUCCUAGGCGAGCCGGAGGAGGUCGCGUCGCUUGUAGGGUUCCUCUGCAUAUCGGCUGCUUCGUACAUCAUCGGGCAGGUCAUUUGCAUCGAUGGCGGCCGUACCGUAGCCGCCUAG
rnacentral:rRNA from 1 species